UGUGACCUACGGGAGGCAGCAGUGGGGAAUAUUGGGCAAUGGGCGCAAGCCUGACCCAGCAACGCCGCGUGAAGGAAGAAGGCUUUCGGGUUGUAAACUUCUUUUAUGAGGGACGAAACAAAUGACGGUACCUCAUGAAUAAGCCACGGCUAACUACGUGCCAGCAGCCGCGGUAAUACGUAGGUGGCAAGCGUUAUCCGGAUUUACUGGGUGUAAAGGGCGUGUAGGCGGGACUGCAAGUCAGAUGUGAAAACCACGGGCUCA
rnacentral:rRNA from 1 species